UACGGGGGGGGCAAGCGUUGUUCGGAAUUACUGGGCGUAAAGGGCUCGUAGGCGGCUAAUUAAGUCAGACGUGAAAUCCCUCGGCUUAACCGGGGAACUGCGUCUGAUACUGGAUGGCUUGAGUUUGGGAGAGGGAUGCGGAAUUCCAGGUGUAGCGGUGAAAUGCGUAGAUAUCUGGAGGAACACCGGUGGCGAAGGCGGCAUCCUGGGCCAACACUGACGCUGAGGAGCGAAAGCGAGGGGAGCAAACGGG
rnacentral:rRNA from 1 species